CUACAGCUGAAUUGGCCAUUGCGUAGGAUGGAAUGAAAGUUGGUCAUUUAUUCUGAAUAGCAACUGACUGAGAAAGAGUAGUGAAUGCAGCCCUAAACUCUGCAUAAGAAACAUGUUCGCCCAAAGGUUCUUCGGGAUGAGGGGCUGACUGAUUCUCAUUUCUACUUUUAGGAGGCAUCUUUUGUAGAAAAAAGAAAGAAACAAAUUAGACUGACAUUUUAACUUUGAGCCUAUACU
rnacentral:lncRNA from 1 species